GAACUCGGCAAAAUGGCCCCGUAACUUCGGGAUAAGGGGCGCCCCUUGGAGAAGGCUUCGCAAGAAGAACCGGGGGGCUGCAGGAAUCGGUUGUUACGACUGUUUACUAAAAACACAGGUCUCUGCCAAGUCCACAAAGACGACGUAUAGAGACUGACGCUUGCUCGGUGCCGGAAGGUCAAGGUGAGGGGUCAGCCCGCAAGGGCGAAGCUCCGAGCCGAAGCCCCGGUUAACGGCGGCCGUAACUAUGACAGUCCUAAGGUAGCGAAGUUCCUUGUCGGGUAAGUUCCGACGCGCAUGAAUAGCGUAACGUAGCAACGCUGUCUCUACCGCAGACCCGGCGAAAUUGUAGUAGCGGUGAAGAUGCCGCUUACCCGCAGUUAGACGGAAAGACCCCGUGAACCUUCACUGUAGCCUAUUAUUGAGUUUGGGUGUGGCAUGUGUAGGAUAGGUGGGAGGCAUUGAAGCUGGGACGCCAGUCUCAGCAGAGCCGCCGGUGAAAUACCACCCUUGUUGCAUCUAAAUUCUAACUCGAUUCCUUGAACCAGGGUCCAGGACAGUGAUAGGUGGGCAGUUUGGCUGGGGCGGCUUCCUCCUAAAGAGUAACGGAGGAGCCCAAAGGCACCUUCAGCGCGGUUGGCAAUCGCGCGGAGAGCGUAAGGGUAUAAGGGUGCCUGACUGUGAGACCAAUAAGUCGAGCAGAGGUGAAAGCCGGGCCUAAUGAUCCGGCGUUACCGGGUGGAAGGGACGUCGCUCAUCAGAUAAAAGGUACUCCGGGGAUAACAGGCUGAUCUCUCCCAAGAGUCCAUAUCGACGGGGAGGUUUGGCACCUCGAUGUCGGCUCAUCACAUCCUGGGGCUGUAGGAGGUCCCAAGGGUUCGGCUGUUCGCCGAUUAAAGUGGUACGCGAGCUGGGUUUAGACCGGCGUGAGCCAGGUCGGUCCCUAUCUACUGUGGGUGCAGGAGACUUGCGGGGAGCUGUCCCUAGUACGAGGGGAUCGGGAUGGACGGACCUCUGGUGUACCUGUUGUCUCGUCAGAGGCACCGCAGGGUAGCUAUGUCCGGAAGGGAUAAGCGCUGAAAGCAUAUAAGUGCGAAGCCCCCCCCAAAACGAGGUCUCCCUGAAGGCACCUCGAAGACGACGAGGUUGAUAGGCCGGAGGUGUAAGCACGGCAACGUGUUCAGCCGACCGGUACUAAUCUGCCGUUCGGCUUGACCGU
rnacentral:rRNA from 1 species